rnacentral:rRNA from 1 species
CAGUCGCCGCGGUAAUGCGUAGGUGGCAAGCGUUGUCCGGAAUUAUUGGGCGUAAAGGGCUCGCAGGCGGUUUCUUAAGUCUGAUGCGAAAGCCCCCGGCUCAACCGGGGAGGGUCAUUGGAAACUGGGAAACUUGAGUGCAGAAGAGGAGAGUGGAAUUCCACGUGUAGUGGUGAAAUGCGUAGAGAUGUGGAGGAACACCAGUGGCGAAGGCGACUCUCUGGUCUGUAACUGACGCUGAGGAGCGAAAGCGUGGGGAGCGAACAGGAUUAGAUACCCGAGUAGUCCCUGUCUCUUAUAC